ensembl:lncRNA
AGUUAAGACUCUAGAAUAUCAUGAUUUAUGUAAAUUUACCUCAAUAAUAUGAAUGUUCAGGUUAAGAUUGUACAGUAAUAUUUAUUAUGCAAGUUUAGCUGAUUAAAGUUUAUGACUCUGCACUAAAAUAUUAUUUAAAUGGACAUCAUUAUUAUAAUAUUUAGGGUCAGAUCCUACAGUAUUGAGAUUAAGAAAUCAAAUAUUCUAUAAAAUGUAAAUACACUGAACUCAUUUGGAUAUAUUUAAGUGAGACUCUACAAUAUCAUUUGACACAAAUCUAUCUAAAUCAAAAUUUUAAUAAUUUUCACACCAAACAUUUACUGGACUGAUUUAAAUAUUAAAAUCACUCCUUUCUAAUCCUCUGCUGUACGUUCAAACCUGAGGCCUUAAAUAGAAACACACAAGUAUCUGUUUGAAGGAACUUCUGCAGAGUCCUGGUUCCACAACAUGAUGAUAGAAUUAUAGACAAACUUUAACAAAAGCUGCCUGAGAGUUUACAGGUUUUUAUGUUGGAUUUCUUCAGUAAUUUAAUGAGCAUUAUCAGCAAUAAUCAAGUGUUCAUUUGAUGAACUUCAUUUCCUAAAACAUCCAGAAUUGGAGCUCAUAUCUUUGGCAGCUGUAAAGUUUCUGCUCCUUCAAAGUUCACAACACAAUGAAUGAAUUCCUAAAACACUCUCAAUGCUGGAGAGCGUUUGUGAUGCUGAAGCAGUGAUCAGUUUUUCUGUUUAUUCUCUGGAGAUGCACAAUGAGGGACGUCUGCAGAGACUGAGAAAGAGUCUCACCACAUCCUGACAUGAGGAAAAAGACUUUAUUGAAGACUACAAUGAGAAAAACUAUCAGACAGCAGACGGCUGCAUUCAAGUUUAGGCUGUUAGAUUGUUCCAGAUAAGACAAGUACAAGAUUCUUCAGAGCCGUUCUACCACGAGCCUGACAGGAAGAACUCCAACAGCUACUGAAUGUUCCUGUGGUUCCCUCAAGGCUACAGGAGGAGUCCUACGAGGACGAGCCGGUCCACCUGAUGGAGGCCAGUCGCUGCAGUUCAAAGCCAACACCGACUACGUGGACUUCUACUGGACCACACGGAGGCCUUCAAACCGGACCAACAAGUUCACCGACUCCCCG